CACUGGUGUAUCAUGAUUUUAUGAAGAUGGCUGCCAGUCACAUGGAGGGAAUCGGGAUUGCUUUUCUUCAGUUUUCUAAGGCUUACGAAGAUGAGUAUAGGUUGUUAUAAAGUUGGCAAAAGGACAAUUUCUGAAGAUUGCAAUUUCAGUGGUCAUUUUUGAGUGAAAAAAAUUAUACAAGCAAUAGGCAUGAUAAUUAUGUGGAUGGUGUCACUGAGGUUGCUGCCAUGUUUUGUAAUUCGAUUUGCUCAAUUGAAUGCAACACUGAAAAGUAUUCAUUACAUUAGGAUGUUUCAAAGGAUGCUGUAUUAAUAAUGCCAA